CUUAGUGAUUUACCCCCGAUGGCCACCGCCUCUCUUCUCCGUUCGCUCCGCCGCCGCGAGCUCCUCUCCGCUUAAAGAUCCGUAUCUGCAAAUGGAAAGACUCCUUUGGCUGGAAAAUUGGGUUUCUUUGUGAGGCCUUUCAGUGUCGGUAAUGAUGUUGACUUGGGUACCACCAAUUCCAAAUCUAUGGAAGGAAAGGUUCAGAGAUCUGCUGACUUGUGAUCCUUCUUCUUUAAGGCGACUUCUCGUUCUCCCUUUUGAUCUGGAGAGCAGCGCUCACGACAUUUCCC